rnacentral:misc_RNA from 1 species
GAUGAAGAACGUAGCGAAAUGCGAUAAGUAGUGUGAAUUGCAGAAUUCAGUGAAUCAUCGAAUCUUUGAACGCUCAUUGCGUCCCUUGGUAUUCCAUGGGGCAUGCCUGUUCGAGCGUCAUUUGUACCUUCAAGCUUUGCUUGGUGUUGGGUGUUUGUCUCGCCUUUGCGUGUAGACUCGCCUUAAAAUAAUUGGCAGCCGGCGUAUUGAUUUCGGAGCGCAGUACAUCUCGCGCUUUGCACUCAUAACGACAGCGUCCAAAAGUACAUUUUACACUCUUGACCUCGGAUCAGGUAGGGAUACCCGCUGAACUUAAGCAUAUCAAUAAGCGGAGGA